ACCGCGGUAGCCCAGUUGGUAGUGGCGUUGGCAGUUCAGAUGGUGAAGGUAGCCAGUUCAAAUCCUGCCUGCGGUG